rnacentral:ncRNA from 1 species
ACUUCUCCAGCGUAGCAAUUAUCACUUAGUUGUUACAUAUACCGUGCCUGUCGCUAACGCGAGGUAGAGCAAAGUGAACACUGUGGUGGUGUACUCGGUAAAGCAGGACCUGGGCGAGUUUUAAAAAACACUUUGUA